GCGGCGGGCUGCGCGGCGCUGAGCGCUCCCUUCCUCCAGGGGCCGCCGAGGGGCCGCGCCGAGCGCAUGGAAUUUUCCACCGCCCAGCCAGCCUGCAGAGUCGCGGCUCAUUGGCGGAGCGGGGGCGCCUGUCCCCGCGUGGGUGCGGAGAUGAGAUUAGCCAGGGAGCCCUCCUCAGUGGGCUUUGCAAGGUUCUGAUUAAUCAGUUAAAACUCAGGCAACUGGAGGCCCAUGCAGCUCUGGCUGUAGCAUCAACCAGCGAUGGAACAUUAUACAGUCCUGAGAGUCCUGUGAUCUGUGAGGAGGGGAGACUCUGCACUGUUGAUCUGACACCCUGCACCAGAGUGCCCCACGUUGAUUAAAUCCAAAAGAUGGGAAACUCAAAUAUGGAAGGCCAACUGCAUAUGGAGCUGGUAUCUGAUGAAAGAUUGAAUGUAAAAAAAAAAAAAGAAGUAUCUUCUACUUGAAACCACAGUUCUACAUGAUUAUUUUAUGUGUGUGGUACAUUCCUGUCCCUCCACACUCCCUCUCCACUCCUCCAAGGCCAACACAGCCAGUGCUCCCCAGCCUGGUCCAGAACAGCCGGCCCCACAGAAGAUGGUGCAUCCUCCUGGUUCUUGGUGGGAAGAGGCAGUCCCCUGCUGUAGGAUUGUGGUGUGAGCAAAGCAGGCCUUUGCAGCAUGGAAAGCACCUCGUGGGUCCAAGGAAACCUACAGCUGCUCAGAGACAGCUGGGAAGACUGGGGAGGAAGGUGCUGCUGUCACAUAAAUGGGGACAGGACUACCAGCCAGGACAAUUUGGUAAUUACUAUGAAUGUGACUCCAUAUUUUGCAAAGUCUGGGAAGUUAAUAUUUAUACGUGUUUUAAAAUAUUAAAAUGGAUCAUACCCCAGUUUGGUUAAGUAAGUUAUUUGCUUUAACAUGAUCACAUAAACUUUUUUUCUGUAGCUAGAUGAUCGUAAUGGUUUUCAAACUAUGU
rnacentral:lncRNA from 1 species